GCGGAGGAAAAGAAAAUAACAAUGAUUUCCCUAGUAACGGCGAGUGAAGAGGAAAGAGCUCAAAGUUGGAACCUGUUUGGCUUAGCUAAACCGGAUUGUAAACUGUAGAAGUGUUUUCCAGACACGCCUGGUAAAAAAGUCCUUUGGAACAGGGCAUCAUAGAGGGUGAGAAUCCCGUCUUUGGCCAGAGCUGUUGUCUUUUGUGAUACAUUUUCAAAGAGUCAGGUUGUUUGGGAAUGCAGCCUAAAUUGGGUGGUAAAUCUCACCUAAAGCUAAAUAUUUGCGAGAGACCGAUAGCGAACAAGUACCGUGAGGGAAAGAUGAAAAGAACUUUGAAAAGAGAGUUAAACAGUAUGUGAAAUUGUUAAAAGGGAACCGUUUGGAGCCAGACUGGCUUGACUGUAAUCAAUCUAGGCUUCGGCCUGGAUGCACUUGCGGUUUAUGCCUGCCAACGACAAUUUUUUUUGAGGGAAAAAACUAUUAGGAAUGUGGCCCCUCUCGGGGGGUGUUAUAGCCUUUUAGAAAAUACCUUGAAUUGGAUUGAGGAA
rnacentral:rRNA from 1 species